ensembl:lncRNA
CGCCUCUGUUAACUGACACAAGAGCGACAGUUGAUUUAGGUGAACACGGUAGUCACACCGAGGUCGGAGCCGGGCACGGGGAGGAGCGAGUCGAAGGUGCAGUUCGUUGGAAGCACGGAGAGCGCGAGCCGCAUGCUUUUACUGUACCGCUGAGGUACGUCACGUUCCACGCGCACGGAAAGCUGCUGGUUUGCGCUCUCGCUCCUGACAAACUCGUGAAAACUGUUGUUCUUGGUGACAGCCAAGUUGUGCCGCGGUGUCGACAUUUUUUUUUUUGCUCAGUGUUUUAACCAAGGUUAUCGGUGUUAUUUAUAUUUCUUUCCCUCUCCAAAAUGGGCUUUCACUCUUGAGGAUAUAGAGGCAUAACAUGAUUUGUGAGCCAGUCUACUCAUCGAAAUGGGAGCCAGUGAGAUGAAGGGCACAUGAACAUGAACGCCAGCGCUUCAGACACACGGCUCGUGAUGGAGGGAGUCGCUAUCAAUGAGAGUAGCAGUGACGUGCAGAGCUUUG